UACGUAGGGUGCGAGCGUUAAUCGGAAUUACUGGGCGUAAAGCGUGCGCAGGCGGUCUGUUAAGACAGAUGUGAAAUCCCCGGGCUUAACCUGGGAACUGCAUUUGUGACUGGCGGGCUAGAGUAUGGCAGAGGGGGGUAGAAUUCCACGUGUAGCAGUGAAAUGCGUAGAGAUGUGGAGGAAUACCGAUGGCGAAGGCAGCCCCCUGGGCCAAUACUGACGCUCAUGCACGAAAGCGUGGGGAGCAAACAGG
rnacentral:rRNA from 1 species